rnacentral:rRNA from 1 species
GACGAACGCUGGCGGCGUGCUUAACACAUGCAAGUCGAACGCUGAAGCUCAGCUUGCUGGGUGGAUGAGUGGCGAACGGGUGAGUAACACGUGAGUAACCUGCCCCCUUCUUUGGGAUAACGCCCGGAAACGGGUGCUAAUACUGGAUAUUCACUGAUCUUCGCAUGGGGGUUGGUGGAAAGGUUUGUUCUGGUGGGGGAUGGGCUCGCGGCCUAUCAGCUUGUUGGUGGGGUGAUGGCCUACCAAGGCUUUGACGGGUAGCCGGCCCGAGAGGGUGACCGGUCACAUUGGGACUGAGAUACGGCCCAGACUCCUACGGGAGGCAGCAGUGGGGAAUAUUGCACAAUGGGCGCAAGCCUGAUGCAGCGACGCCGCGUGAGGGAUGGAGGCCUUCGGGUUGUAAACCUCUUUCGCUCAUGGUCAAGCCGCAACAGUGGUUGUGGUGAGGGUAGUGGGUAAAGAAGCGCCGGCUAACUACGUGCCAGCAGCCGCGGUAAUACGUAGGGCGCGAGCGUUGUCCGGAAUUAUUGGGCGUAAAGGGCUUGUAGGCGGUUGGUCGCGUCUGCCGUGAAAUCCUCUGGCUUAACUGGGGGCGUGCGGUGGGUACGGGCUGACUUGAGUGCGGUAGGGGAGACUGGAACUCCUGGUGUAGCGGUGGAAUGCGCAGAUAUCAGGAAGAACACCGGUGGCGAAGGCGGGUCUCUGGGCCGUUACUGACGCUGAGGAGCGAAAGCGUGGGGAGCGAACAGG